AGACAUGGAAAUCCAUGCCCUGCAAUGUCGCUGCCUUGAACAGAGUGUUUAAUCCCACAUUCGCGCAUUCCAUUAUUACCAGCGCCGUGAUCGGAAGAUGAUGAAACAGAGUGUGCUCUGUUUCUUCUGGGAGAAAAGAAGAAAGGGGAAAGUGUGUUGGAAGCGGUGAAAUUGAAGACUCAAGGAAUUGUAUUUUAAUAAGUGACGCAUAUAAACUCGUGGACGAUCAUCAUACUCCAUUAUAUGUAUGUAUGUAUGUAUGUAUGUAUGUAUGUAUGUAUGUAUGUAUGUAUGUAUGUUGCCAAAAAGAAAUAUUUCGUACAGGUCAUAAAAUAUGUUAGAUACUUUUUUUUUAUGACAAAAAAGUAUUUGUAAUAGUCGUUGAUUAUCAUAUGGAAUGUCAUCUUCCAAGAUUGGACCGAGUUCAAAAUAAUUGGUCCGUUGUAUCA